rnacentral:rRNA from 1 species
CCGGCACGGGUGAGUAACACGUAUCCAACCUGCCGUCUACUCUUGGCCAGCCUUCUGAAAGGAAGAUUAAUCCAGGAUGGCAUCAUGAGUUCACAUGUCCGCAUGAUUAAAGGUAUUUUCCGGUAGACGAUGGGGAUGCGUUCCAUUAGAUAGUAGGCGGGGUAACGGCCCACCUAGUCGACGAUGGAUAGGGGUUCUGAGAGGAAGGUCCCCCACAUUGGAACUGAGACACGGUCCAA